rnacentral:rRNA from 1 species
AACGAACGCUGGCGGCAUGCCUAACACAUGCAAGUCGAACGAGAUCUUCGGGUCUAGUGGCGCACGGGUGCGUAACGCGUGGGAAUCUGCCCUUUGGUUCGGAAUAACAGUUGGAAACGACUCCUAAUACCGGAUGAUGACGAAAGUCCAAAGAUUUAUCGCCAGAGGAUGAGCCCGCGUAGGAUUAGCUAGUUGGUGUGGUAAAGGCGCACCAAGGCGACGAUCCUUAGCUGGUCGGAGAGGAUGAUCAGCCACACUGGGACUGAGACACGGCCCAGACUCCUACGGGAGGCAGCAGUGGGGAAUAUUGGACAAUGGGCGAAAGCCUGAUCCAGCAAUGCCGCGUGAGUGAUGAAGGCCUUAGGGUUGUAAAGCUCUUUUACCCGGGAUGAUAAUGACAGUACCGGGAGAAUAAGCUCCGGCUAACUCCGUGCCAGCCGCCGCCGUAAUAC